GAUGAACGCUGGCGGCGUGCCUAAUACAUGCAAGUCGAGCGAACGGACGAGAAGCUUGCUUUUCUGAUGUUAGCGGCGGACGGGUGAGUAACACGUGGAUAACCUACCUAUAAGACUGGGAUAACUUCGGGAAACCGGAGCUAAUAUCGGAUAAUAUUUUGAACCGCAUGGUUCAAAAGUGAAAGACGGUCUUGCUGUCACUUAUAGAUGGAUCCGCGCUGCAUUAGCUAGUUGGUAAGGUAACGGCUUACCAAGGCAACGAUGCAUAGCCGACCUGAGAGGGUGAUCGGCCACACUGGAACUGAGACACGGUCCAGACUCCUACGGGAGGCAGCAGUAGGGAAUCUUCCGCAAUGGGCGAAAGCCUGACGGAGCAACGCCGCGUGAGUGAUGAAGGUCUUCGGAUCGUAAAACUCUGUUAUUAGGGAAGAACAUAUGUGUAAGUAACUGUGCACAUCUUGACGGUACCUAAUCAAAAAGCCACGGCUAACUACGUG
rnacentral:rRNA from 1 species